rnacentral:rRNA from 1 species
AUUGAACGCUGGCGGCAGGCCUAACACAUGCAAGUCGAGCGAGCGGCGGACGGGUGAGUAAUGUAUGGGGACUGCCCGAUAGAGGGGGAUAACUACUGGAAACGGUAGCUAAUACCGCAUACUAUCGGAUAACCCAUAUGGGAUUAGCUCGUUGGUGGGGUAAUGGCUCACCAAGGCGACGAUCCCUAGCUGGUCUGAGAGGAUGAUCAACCACACGGGAACUGAGACACGGCCCAGACUCCUACGGAGGCAGCAGUGGGGAAUAUGGCACAAUGGGCGCAAGCCGGAUGCAGCCAUGCCGCGUGGAUGAAGAAGGCCCUAGGGUUGUAAAGUACUUUCAGUGGGGAGGCGUUACCGGCAGAAGAAGCACCGGCUAACUCCGUGCCAGCAGCCGCGGUAAUUC